AUUGGUUGACCCUAAAAAUCUAUAGCAACAUAAUACAGAUUUUAGGGUGUUAAAACUAUUUUUUGGGUUCAUUUUAUCAUCAACUAUAAACAAUUUUUUUUUUCUUCUCUUUGUUAACUAAUUUCAAAUUUCCCCAAAUUAAUUUUGAGAUUUGGAAACAAUUUUUUUCUAAUAUUAAAUGUUUUGCUCUUUCUAACUAAAAUCAGAACAUAAAUACCAAUUAACAAAAACAUUUUGCCUUUUUUUAAUCCAAUACGCCUUUUAUAAAAAAUAACAUAACUCUGGAUCACUUGUUGAGAUCAUCUUCUAUUUCUGAUAUUAGUACAAAGCUAGGGAAUUCAGUUGUAAGGUCCUUCAAAUAUGGAAUGGUCAUAGUCUUGAGUACUGUUGGAUGACGAAUUACGAAUUCCUCCCACUCUCGUACAUCAAUUUUCCCAUCUCCUCCUGUAUCGGCAUCCUUAAAUGUCUUAUCAAUGAUGCUUUCAACAAUGUCGUCAGGGAGAAUCAAGUCUGAUUCUUGUAGAAGUGCCAAUAUCAACUUUUUGACCUUUUUCAAGUUAGAUAAGAGUACCAAAUACUAAUCAAUUUGCAUUUAGAAAAUGGAAAUGAUUCUGAAUAAAUGCUUUUGCUUGAAUUAAUUUUUCUGAAAGUUGUAAAGCUGUAUGUGCAACAUUUUUUUUUAACAAAAAUAGCAACUACAUUUCAAGCUACACUUCUCUCUUUUCACUUUGGUAUUAGGACUCGCUAGGGGCCAGUUUUUAGGUCGAUUUCAUGUUUGAAUUUACAUCAUUUUAUAAUUUUAUCCUAAGUUUUAAUUUUGGAUUAAGUAUACUAAUGUUUCACAUUGGGUCUAAUUAUAUCUAAAAUUCAAGAUCAACUCCUGAAAUUUGAAAAUUUCUUGAAGGAGUUUAUUUUAAAUUUGAGGUAUAAUUGCAUUCAAUGUGACACUAAGACAUCUAAUCCAAAAUUGAAAUCUUAGAAUAAAAUUAUAAAAUUACGUGAAGAUUUGGUUUUUUUUUUGUCUAAUUAGCCUGACGUGUACUUGAUCACAUUCAAUUACAACCUAUUACUAAAAAUGUACUUAGAUUAUGCUAUAGACUGUGAUUUUUGGAAUGAAAAUCGUUCUCCUUCCAUCUUCAAACAUGUGUUAAAAUAUACAAGUAAUCAGGCCUUUAUCACCAAACUCAGAUUACCUCACUGCGUUCAAUGAAGCCUGUUUGCCUCAUAUCAUAUAGCUGAAAUGCAACUGCCAAAUUAGAUACCAAGAAAUUUUAAUAUAAUUAGAGCAAAAAGCCAUGACUGAAUACGCAUAAUAUGAGAAGAAUUUCAUACAAGCAACUUUCUCUGCUAGAGGUGCUUCUGGGUGGAACACAGACAGAGAUCUAACAAACUCCUCGAAUUCUAUUACUCCAUCUUGCUUGGAGUCGAACAAUUGGAAAAGCUUGAAAAAUAUAUAUUAUUAAAUGAACAAAUGCUUGUAUUAUUCUACUUUUAAAAAAGAAUUAGUAAAUGGGAAGCUUACUCUGUCUGCAAUUAGACUCUUCCUCUUGCUGUUUCUAAAUAAGCCAAGCUGAAACUCUUCCUGAAUACUCAACUUUCAGAAUGUUGCAUUGAAGAAUCAGGAAGCUAACUUGAUUGAUAAAGCUUUUUUCUUUGUAAAUAUUUUGUGAGAGUUGAUGAAACUUACUUUGCUAAUGAGCCCAUCCUCUGUCAAAGAACUGCUUAAUUUCUUGAACAGCUUACAUAAAGCUUCAACUUGAGCUUCAUUGAAAUUAGUCUGAGAAGCAAGAACAGCUAGGUCUUGAUGUUUCAUUCGCACUGGGUCUUGAUGUUUAAUUCGCAGCUUUGUGCAAAGGCAUCCCAUCCCAGCUGCUUUCCUUUUUUUUUUUUU
rnacentral:misc_RNA from 1 species